AUUGAACGCUGGCGGCAUGCUUUACACAUGCAAGUCGAACGGUAACAGGCCGCAAGGUGCUGACGAGUGGCGAACGGGUGAGUAAUGCAUCGGAACGUGCCCAGCCGUGGGGGAUAACUACUCGAAAGAGUAGCUAAUACCGCAUACGAUCUAUGGAUGAAAGCGGGGGACCGUAAGGCCUCGCGCGAUUGGAGCGGCCGAUGUCAGAUUAGGUAGUUGGUGGGGUAAUGGCUCACCAAGCCAACGAUCUGUAGCUGGUCUGAGAGGACGACCAGCCACACUGGGACUGAGACACGGCCCAGACUCCUACGGGAGGCAGCAGUGGGGAAUUUUGGACAAUGGGCGCAAGCCUGAUCCAGCAAUGCCGCGUGCAGGAAGAAGGCCUUCGGGUUGUAAACUGCUUUUGUACGGAACGAAACGGCUCUGGUUAAUACCCGGGGCUAAUGACGGUACCGUAAGAAUAAGCACCGGCUAACUACGUG
rnacentral:rRNA from 1 species